rnacentral:rRNA from 1 species
GACGAACGCUGGCGGCGCGCCUAACACAUGCAAGUCGAGCGAUGACGUUUCAACAGAUUCUUUCGAGAUGACGAUGAGAUUGAUUAGCGGCGGACGGGUGAGUAACACGUGAGUAACCUACCUUCCACAAGGGGAUAGCCUCGGGAAACCGGGAUUAAUACCCUAUGACACAUACCUUUCGCAUGAAGGGGAUGUUAAAGUGAAUGAGCGGUGGAAGAUGGACUCGCGACCCAUUAGUUAGUUGGUGAGGUAACGGCUCACCAAGACGACGAUGGGUAGCCGGCCUGAGAGGGUGAACGGCCACAUUGGAACUGAGACACGGUCCAAACUCCUACGGGAGGCAGCAGUGGGGAAUAUUGCACAAUGGGGGAAACCCUGAUGCAGCGACGCCGCGUGAGCGAUGAAGGCUUUCGAGUCGUAAAGCUCUGUCCUAUGGGAAGAUAGUGACGGUACCAUAGGAGGAAGCCCCGGCUAACUACGUGCCAGCAGCCGCGGUAAUACGUAGGGGGCGAGCGUUGUCCGGAAUUACUGGGCGUAAAGGGUUCGCAGGCGGCGAUGCAAGUCCGGUGUGAAAGACAAAGGCUUAACCUUUGCAAGCAUUGGAAACUGUAUGGCUUGAGUGAAGGAGAGGUAAGUGGAAUUCCUAGUGUAGCGGUGAAAUGCGUAGAUAUUAGGAAGAAUACCUGUGGCGAAGGCGACUUACUGGACUUCAACUGACGCUGAGGAACGAAAGCGUGGGGAGCAAACAGGAUUAGAUACCCUGGUAGUCCACGCCGUAAACGAUGAGUGCUAGGUGUCGGGAGAGAUCUCGGUGCCGCCGUUAACACAUUAAGCACUCCGCCUGGGGGAGUACGUGCGCAAGCAUGAA